GGAGUUUGGACCGUGUCUCAGUUCCAAUGUGGGGGACCUUCCUCUCAGAACCCCUACUGAUCGUCGCCUCGGUGGGCCGUUACCCCGCCGACAAGCUAAUCAGACGCAUCCCCAUCCCUUAGCGGUGAACCUUUGCUUCCCAUCAGAUGCCAUCCAGGAAGAACAUAGAGCAUUAAUCCGACUUUCGCCGGGCUAUUCUCUACUAUGGGGAAGGUUGGAUACGCGUUACUCACCCGUGCGCCGGUCGCCAUCAUCGGUUGCAAGCAACCGACAUGCUGCCCCUCGACUUGCAUGUGUUAAGCCUGUAGCUAGCGUUCAUC
rnacentral:rRNA from 1 species